rnacentral:rRNA from 1 species
AUUGAACGCUGGCGGCAGGCCUAACACAUGCAAGUCGAGCGGAGCGGCGGACGGGUGAGUAAUGCCUAGGAAUCUGCCUGGUAGUGGGGGAUAACGUCCGGAAACGGGCGCUAAUACCGCAUACUAUUAGAUGAGCCUAGGUCUGAUUAGCUGUUUGGUGGGGUAAAGGCCUACAAAGGCGCCGAUCCGUAACUGGUCUGAGAGGAUGAUCAGUCACACUGGAACUGGGACACGUUCCCGACUCCUACGGGAGGCAGCAGUGGGAAAUAUUGGACAAGGGGCGAAAGCCGGAUCCAGCCAUGCCGCGUGUGUAAAGAAGGUCUUCGGAUUUUAAAGCACUUUAAGAUGGGAGGCGUUACCAACAGAAUAAGGAACGGCUAACUUCGUGCCAGCAGCCGCGGUAAUUC